UACAGAGGGUGCGAACGUUGCUCGGAAUUACUGGGCGUAAAGCGCGUGUAGGCGGGGUCGCAAGUCAGAUGUGAAAUCCCCGGGCUCAACCCGGGAACUGCACCUGAAACUGCGAUCCUUGAGUACUGGAGAGGGUGGCGGAAUUCCUGGUGUAGAGGUGAAAUUCGUAGAUAUCAGGAGGAACACCGGUGGCGAAGGCGGCCACCUGGACAGUUACUGACGCUGAGACGCGAAAGCGUGGGGAGCAAACAGG
rnacentral:rRNA from 1 species